AGAGUUUGAUCAUGGCUCAGGACGAACGCUGGCGGCGUGCUUAACACAUGCAAGUCGAACGAUGAAGCCCAGCUUGCUGGGUGGAUUAGUGGCGAACGGGUGAGUAACACGUGGGUGAUCUGCCCUGCACUUCGGGAUAAGCCUGGGAAACUGGGUCUAAUACCGGAUAGGACCUCGGGAUGCAUGUUCCGGGGUGGAAAGGUUUUCCGGUGCAGGAUGGGCCCGCGGCCUAUCAGCUUGUUGGUGGGGUAACGGCCCACCAAGGCGACGACGGGUAGCCGGCCUGAGAGGGCGACCGGCCACACUGGGACUGAGACACGGCCCAGACUCCUACGGGAGGCAGCAGUGGGGAAUAUUGCACAAUGGGCGCAAGCCUGAUGCAGCGACGCCGCGUGAGGGAUGACGGCCUUCGGGUUGUAAACCUCUUUCAGUACCGACGAAGCGCAAGUGACGGUAGGUACAGAAGAAGCACCGGCCAACUACGUGCCAGCAGCCGCGGUAAUACGUAGGGUGCGAGCGUUGUCCGGAAUUACUGGGCGUAAAGAGCUCGUAGGCGGUUUGUCGCGUCGUCUGUGAAAACCCGCAGCCCAACUGCGGGCUUGCAGGCGAUACGGGCAGACUUGAGUACUGCAGGGGAGACUGGAAUUCCUGGUGUAGCGGUGAAAUGCGCAGAUAUCAGGAGGAACACCGGUGGCGAAGGCGGGUCUCUGGGCAGUAACUGACGCUGAGGAGCGAAAGCGUGGGGUAGCGAACAGGAUUAGAUACCCUGGUAGUCCACGCCGUAAACGGUGGGCGCUAGGUGUGGGUUUCCUUCCACGGGAUCCGUGCCGUAGCUAACGCAUUAAGCGCCCCGCCUGGGGAGUACGGCCGCAAGGCUAAAACUCAAUGAAUUGACGGG
rnacentral:rRNA from 1 species